GACGAACGUUGGCGGCGUGCUUAAUACAUGCAAGUCCACUGAAGCAGUGGUAGCAAUAUCGCUGUGGAGGUGGCGCACGGGUGAGUAACACGUAGGUAAUCUGCCUUCAGGUCUGGCAUAACUCCGGGAAACCGGGGCUAAUAGCAGAUGAUGCAGCGGCUCGACAUCGAGACAGUUGUUAAAGCUAUGGCGCCUGAAGAUGAGCCUGCGUCUGAUUAGCUAGUUGGCGGGGUAACGGCCCACCAAGGCAACGAUCAGUAGCUGGUCUGAGAGGAUGAUCAGCCACACUGGAACUGAGACACGGUCCAGACUCCUACGGGAGGCAGAAGUAAGGAAUAUUGCUCAAUGGGAGAAAUCCUGAAGCAGCAACGCCGCGUGAGGGACGAAGGGCUUUUGCUUGUAAACCUCUGUAGUGAGAGAAAAAAAUCCCAAUCUUUGGGACAUGAUGGUAUCUCAAAAGUAAGCCCCGGCUAACUACGUG
rnacentral:rRNA from 1 species